rnacentral:tRNA from 1 species
GCCGGAGUGGCGGAAUUGGCAGACGCACUAGAUUCAGGUUCUAGCGGUCGCAAGGCUGUGCAGGUUCAAGUCCUGUCUCCGGCACCA